GUGGGGAAUAUUGGACAAUGGGCGAAAGCCUGAUCCAGCCAUGCCGCGUGUGUGAAGAAGGUCUUCGGAUUGUAAAGCACUUUAAGUUGGGAGGAAGGGCAGUAAGUUAAUACCUUGCUGUUUUGACGUUACCGACAGAAUAAGCACCGGCUAACUUCGUACCAGCAGCCGCGGUAAUACGAAGGGUGCAAGCGUUAAUCGGAAUUACUGGGCGUAAAGCGCGCGUAGGUGGUUUUGUAAGUUGGAGGUGAAAUCCCCGGGCUCAACCUGGGAACUGCCUCCAAAACUGCAUGACUAGAGUACGGUAGAGGGUAGUGGAAUUUCCUGUGUAGCGGUGAAAUGCGUAGAUAUAGGAAGGAACACCAGUGGCGAAGGCGACUACCUGGACUGAUACUGACACUGAGGUGCGAAAGCGUGGGGAGCAAACAGGAUUAGAAACCCUUGUAGUCC
rnacentral:rRNA from 1 species